rnacentral:tRNA from 1 species
GUUGUCGUGGCGGAAUGGUUAAGGCGAUAGACUAGAAAUCGUUUGGGGUGGGGGGGGGGGGGUCUUCCAGCGCAGGUUCGAAACCCGCCGACAACA